CCCCAGGCCUUCAGCCGGCGCUCGGUGCCCCGAGCUCGCCCUCCGGCCUCCAGCUGGAGAACGGAACCCUGCCUGUUGCUUUGUCUUCUUCUCCGACAGUUUUCCUACCCUGAGGAAAGUGAGAGGCGCUUUUCGAUGGUGUUUCCUCUGUGGAAGAGCCGCGUGAAGGAACUGCGAGUUGGGCGCCGUGUGUCUCGGGCCCGAGAAGAGCUCAGGGCCGCGCGCCGGCCAAGACAAGCGCUUAGCACCCCCACCCCCAUCUCCAACGCCCGCCCCCCGCCCCCCCCGCCCAGCGUCCGGAGCGGCGGGGACGCCGGGCAGAGGCCUCUCAGGUCGUGUGCAGCAGAGAGGCAGGGCCUGGAAGGAAAGGCGCCCUCCUCUGGCGAAGGGGAGAGGAAGAUCUAAAAACCACGGUGUGUAAGGUCUUGCAAGCAAGAGGUGCUUCACCUGUACCUUCAACACUUGCCAGAUCUACCUGGAGGUAGAAGUCCACGUGGCCAGCUGCAUGGUGCUUACGAGUAGAAAUGACCUAUGGAAAUUACUAAUGGUAUGGGUGUUCAAAUUGUAAAAGUAACCUGGCAUUUCUCCAAGAAGAAAGCAUAACAUAGUAACAGGCUGCUCCACAGUGAGUAAUGAGAGGAAUGAUCACAAUGAAGAUGAUCCCAGGGGCCUCCAGACUGUUGAACAAGAGUCAAGAGAGUCUUCGCUCACUCAUCGUCUAACCAUGGGAUGGAAGCUUCUUGUCCUUGCGCCCUCGUUUCCUUCUUUAUGAAUGGGAAAGAUUGGCCUUCCCUCUUGGAAAACUGCAGCAUUUGGGGAUUUAAAGAACUUUCAAUUAAAAACAUUCUUGGGGCACCUGGGUGGCUCAGUCAGUUAAGUAUCUGACUUCGGCUCCAGUCAUGAUCUCACGGCUGGUGAGUUCAAGACCCACAAAGUGCUCUAUGCU